rnacentral:rRNA from 1 species
AUGGGAACGCGAAGAACCUUACCUACUCUUGACAUCCAGAGAACUUAGCAGAGAUGCUUUGGUGCCUUCGGGAACUCUGAGACAGGUGCUGCAUGGCUGUCGUCAGCUCGUGUUGUGAAAUGUUGGGUUAAGUCCCGCAACGAGCGCAACCCUUAUCCUUUGUUGCCAGCGGUUAGGCCGGGAACGUACAAAGGAAGACUGCCAGUGAUAAACUAGGAGGAAGGUGAGGAUGACGUCAAGUCAUCAUGGCCCUUACGAGUAGGGCGUACACACGUGCUACAAUGGCGCAUACAAAGAGAAGCGACCUCGCGAGAGCAAGCGGACCUCAUAAAGUGCGUCGUAGUCCGGAUUGGAGUCUGCAACUCGACUCCAUGAAGUCGGAAUCGCUAGUAAUCGUAGAUCAGAAUGCUACGGUGAGUACGUUCCCGGGUCUU